UGGGGAAUAUUGGACAAUGGGCGAAAGCCUGACCCAGCAACGCCGCGUGAAGGAUGAAGUAUUUCGGUAUGUAAACUUCGAAAGAAUAGGAAGAAUAAAUGACGGUACUAUUUAUAAGGUCCGGCUAACUACGUGCCAGCAGCCGCGGUAAUACGUAGGGACCAAGCGUUGUUCGGAUUUACUGGGCGUAAAGGGCGCGUAGGCGGCAAUUCAAGUCAUCUGUGAAAUCUCCGGGCUUAACUCGGAACGGUCAGAUGAUACUGCUUUGCUAGAGUGCAGAAGGGGCAAUCGGAAUUCUUGGUGUAGCGGUGAAAUGCGUAGAUAU
rnacentral:rRNA from 1 species